CAGUCGCCGCGGGAAAACGGAGGGGGCUAGCGUUGUUCGGAAUUACUGGGCGUAAAGCACACGUAGGCGGCUUGGUAAGUUAGAGGUGAAAGCCAGGAGCUCAACUCCAGAAUUGCCUUUAAGACUGCCGAGCUAGCAGGUGAGAGAGGUAAGUGGAAUUCCGAGUGUAGAGGUGAAAUUCGUAGAUAUUCGGAAGAACACCAGUGGCGAAGGCGGCUUACUGGCUCAUACUGGACGCUGAGGUGCGAAAGCGUGGGGAGCAAACAGGAUUAGAUACCCCAGUAGUCCCUGUCUCUUAUAC
rnacentral:rRNA from 1 species